GAAGAGAACUAGCUAGCGACUAGCGUUAGCAUUUGCGUUGGCGGCGAGCGUUAGCAUUAACCUUCUCGUCUAAUGACAUUUUUAAAAACCUUAUUUACAUUUUCAACCCUUUUUAUUGCCUGUGUAAGAGUGUGACUCAGGCGCCCCUGACGUGAGUUGUGGACCCCCAACCUAGAUGGGUUAAAAAAAAACAAAACGAGCUCUUGAUAGUCUGUUUAAAUCCCUGUUGUAGUUGUUUACAGUCACUCUACCGACAUUUUUCAUCUCUUUGUAACUUUAUAUUCCGUCCUGGUCAUUUUAACUCAGUUUAUAGCCGUUAUCAUGUCGUUGUCAUCGUUUGUGUCUCUUUGUGGUCAUUUUGUAUUAUAUUGCGUUUGUACCUGGCUGCUUUACACCUGAUGUUAGCGUUAGCAUUAGUCUUAUCUUUUAAUGCCUUCGGGGCUUUUUCCUUUUGUCAUCGUUUUUAUUUGUGUGGGUUAAAGUGUGUUUGUGUUUCUGUGACUGUAGCACCGUACGGAGGCAAGUUAACUGUUAAUUAGUCUGUUUGUCUGAUAAUCUCGUCGUUAUGAUCAUUUUGUGUCUAUUUGUGGCCUUAUUGCGUAAUUCUGCGUCUUUGCUAUUUUUCGCUGUCGUUUUUGUUUGUCUUUGUAGAUUUGUGACAGUAAUCUGUCCAUAGCUAUGGGAAUUUUUUUUUUGUCUUAGUACUUGAUUGAGCUCAGUUAUGUUAAACUCAAGCUUGAAAACUAAAUUUUAACUCUGUGCUCCUCCACAAGUUUGAGCCUGAAACCUGAGCCUGAUUUUAGUUACUUUCUUGUUGGUUCCUAAUGAUGUUGAUGCUUUUUCUUGCUUUAUGUGACAGUAAACAGCCCAUUUUCUGAAACACUCCUAUAGUGUUUGAGGAAAGUCCUGGUUCUGCUAUAAUAAUUAAUAUCUACUAGGGGUGUGACAAUACACUCAGAUCACAAGACACUAUUUUUAAGAAAACUUCAAUGACUUAACUGGAAAGAUCUUUUAUUCUUUUAGAUCUUUUAUUUGACUGAAAGUCACAAAAUGCAAACAAUGCAAGUGCAUUUCAAAAUUUCUAUGAGUUUCUAACUUCUGUGUGUGUGUGUGUGUGUGUGACCUUCUAAAUUAACGCUUUUACUCAAAUAGAACAUUAAAAAAUUAAAAUAUAAAUAACAAAAAUAAAUAAAACUAAAUUUUUCUUCUUGCAAACAAUAAUCAAAGUACUACUCAAUACUGUGCAGAGACUGACCAAAUUUUUCAUCAAGCAUGAUACAGAGUUAAGAGAUGGUUACAGCUACACGAUAUGGUCUCUAAACUGAGAAUGACGUCACCUAUGAGUUGAUGGCCUCAGAAAAACGUGUGGGUAAAGAUGGGAAAACAUGGAAGCUCAUGGGAAAGCCUUUUUCGGAGUACAUGUUCAAAACAAAUCUCCACUUCACCCUAAGAACACCUCAGUUGUUAAUAUUAUAUUUUAAUGCAAACACUUAAGAACGUUAUUAAAAAGCCGUUCAAAUCUGACUGCUUGCAUAAAACGUAACAUUAUACCAUGACUGACACAGAACAACACAAAACAGACAUUUUAAAUAUGUCUUAAUAAGAAGGUUAAAAUGUGAAAUAAUGAUUCUGUAUGUGACUGUCUAUGGUGGGAGAAAUACUAAGUAUAAUAAACAACACAAGUUAUAAUCCUGCAUUAAAAAAUGUACUUAACUGAUAGUGUUUAUUAUUGUUAUGCAGUUCACAGUAACAUACAUGAUUGCUUCAGUGAUUAGUUGAUAGACACACAAUUAAUAAUCACUUUUUCCCAAACAUUUGUUGUUGUUGGUUCUUAAAGAGGUGAUGACAGUCAACUGUUCAUUUUCUGAAACAGCUCUCUAAUGUUUAUUAAAUGUUGUGGUUUUGCUGUAAUGUUGAAUAUAUAUCUGUGUUUUCAUGGUUAAACUGUUGAGGAAUAGGUAGUUGUGUAUUGAUCAUUUUCCUUUGUAUGUUUCUCUUUGAUUUCCUCCAGGUGUCACCACUUAGUCCAUGACUUCGUCCAUGACUUCGUCCAUGAUCGCAGAGACAUGGUCCAUGAUCGGAGAGACAUUGUUGAAGAUGAGGGAGACAUUGUCCACAAUCAGAGACGUCGUCUGUGAUCACAGAGAUUUUGUCAAAGACGAGAGAGACGUUGUCCAUGAUCUGAGACAUUGUCCCAUGCUUCGUAGAGACCUUGCGAUAGAAUCGGCGGAGACGGGGGUCACCGAUUUGAAGGCAUUGCCCGCGAUCAUGGAGACAUUGUCGAUGGUCACAGAGACACCGUCUAUGAUCUCAGAGACAUCGUCCACGAUCACAAAGACAUUGUCCAUGAUUGCAGAGACUUUGUCCAUAAUCUCAGAGACACUGUCCGCGAUCACAGAGACGUAGUCCACGAUCAGAGAGAGACAUCGUACAAUGAAGAAGAUCUUCGAGACCAGGACAGAGGCCUCCAGGUGUCACCACUUAGUCCAUGACUUCGUCCAUGAUCGCAGAGACAUGGUCCAUGAUCGGAGAGACAUUGUUGAGGAUGAGGGAGACAUUGUCCACGAUCAGAGACAUCGUCUGUGAUCACAGAGACCUUGUCAAAGACGAGAGAGACGUUGUCCAUGAUCUGAGACAUUGUCCCAUGCUUCGUAGAGACCUUGCGAUAGAAUCGGCGGAGACGGGGGUCACCGAUUUGAAGGCAUUGCCCGCGAUCAUGGAGACAUUGUCGAUGGUCACAGAGACACCGUCUAUGAUCUCAGAGACAUCGUCCACGAUCACAAAGACAUUGUCCAUGAUUGCAGAGACUUUGUCCAUAAUCUCAGAGACACUGUCCGCGAUCACAGAGACGUAGUCCACGAUCAGAGAGAGACAUCGUACAAUGAAGAAGAUCUUCGAGACCAGGACAGAGGCCUCCAGGUGUCACCACUUAGUCCACGACUUCGUCCAUGAUCGCAGAGACAUGGUCCAUGAUCGGAGAGACAUUGUUGAGGAUGAGGGAGACAUUGUCCACGAUCAGAGACAUCGUCUGUGAUCACAGAGACCUUGUCAAAGACGAGAGAGACGUUGUCCAUGAUCUGAGACAUUGUCCCAUGCUUCGUAGAGACCUUGCGAUAGAAUCGGCGGAGACGGGGGUCACCGAUUUGAAGGCAUUGCCCGCGAUCAUGGAGACAUUGUCGAUGGUCACAGAGACACCGUCUAUGAUCUCAGAGACAUCGUCCACGAUCACAAAGACAUUGUCCAUGAUUGCAGAGACUUUGUCCAUAAUCUCAGAGACACUGUCCGCGAUCACAGAGACGUAGUCCACGAUCAGAGAGAGACAUCGUACAAUGAAGAAGAUCUUCGAGACCAGGACAGAGGCCUCCAGGUGUCACCACUUAGUCCAUGACUUCGUCCAUGAUCGCAGAGACAUGGUCCAUGAUCGGAGAGACAUUGUUGAAGAUGAGGAAGACAUUGUCCACGAUCAGAGACAUCGUCUGUGAUCACAGAGACCUUGUCAAAGACGAGAGAGACGUUGUCCAUGAUCUGAGACAUUGUCCCAUGCUUCGUAGAGACCUUGCGAUAGAAUCGGCGGAGACGGGGGUCACCGAUUUGAAGGCAUUGCCCGCGAUCAUGGAGACAUUGUCGAUGGUCACAGAGACACCGUCUAUGAUCUCAGAGACAUCGUCCACGAUCACAAAGACAUUGUCCAUGAUUGCAGAGACUUUGUCCAUAAUCUAAGAGACACUGUCCGCGAUCACAGAGACGUAGUCCACGAUCAGAGAGAGACAUCGUACAAUGAAGAAGAUCUUCGAGACCAGGACAGAGGCCUCCAGGUUAAGUCCAUGAUCACAGAGUCUUCGUACAAUGAAGAAAUUCUUUGAGACCAGGACCGACCAGAGGCCUCCAGGGGGAGAGGACGACAGCAGCUGAAGACCUGAAGUAGAUGAAAGAAAGCAAAAGUGUUACGACGCUGUUAAUUACAUAAAAGACCUCUAACUUUGGUAAAGUGUAAAGUGUAGGUUUCCUGUUAUUUAACUAAAAAAAACUUUGUUUUUCUCUGCUUUCUGUAAUGUUGUCAUGGGCACAUUUUCCAUAGACCUAUGUCUUUGUUAAAGACCUGUGAGAAUAUUCAACUGCUUAUGAUACAACUAUUUAAUUAAAAUUAAUUCAUAAUUGUAUGUUGUCUGGAACAAAAUCAUUACAAGUGUCUUCCUAAACUUUUCAGUUGCAUUUCUCUGUUUUGAAACUGAUGUUAUACAAAUCAUUUUAUUUUAAGAAAAAUUUCAUUAUUCUCAUGUUUUAAUUUUUUUAGACCUAUUUUUAAACAUUUUGAAAACAUAUUUUUUAUGGUUUUAUACGCUUAAUUUUUAAACUCAUUGUUCAGACAUAUUUUU